rnacentral:rRNA from 1 species
AACGAACGCUGGCGGCAUGCCUAACACAUGCAAGUCGAACGAGACCUUCGGGUCUAGUGGCGCACGGGUGCGUAACGCGUGGGAACCUGCCUUUAUGUUCGGAAUAACUCAGAUAAAUUUGAGCUAAUACCGGAUGAUGUCUUCGGACCAAAGAUUUAUCGCCUUUAGAUGGGCCCGCGUUGGAUUAGCUAGUUGGUGGGGUAAAGGCCUACCAAGGCGACUAUCCAUAGCUGGUCUGAGAGGAUGAUCAGCCACACUGGGACUGAGACACGGCCCAGACUCCUACGGGAGGCAGCAGUGGGGAAUAUUGGACAAUGGGCGAAAGCCUGAUCCAGCAAUGCCGCGUGAGUGAUGAAGGCCUUAGGGUUGUAAAGCUCUUUUACCCGAGAUGAUAAUGACAGUAUCGGGAGAAUAAGCUCCGGCUAACUCCGUG